rnacentral:rRNA from 1 species
GGGUAGGACACUAUCAGAGACGCAUUGGUGCCUUCGGGACUCUGAGACAGGUGCUGCAUGGCUGUCGUCAGCUCGUGUUGUGAAAUGUUGGGUUAAGUCCCGCAACGAGCGCAACCCUUAUCCUUGUUUGCCAGCGAGUAAUGUCGGGAACUCCAGGGAAACGGCCGGUGAUAAACCGAAGGAAGGGGGGAACAACUUCAAGUCUUCUGGGCCCUUACAAGUAGGGCUACCCACUUGCUACAUUGGCCCAUACAAAGGGCAGCCAAUUUGCAAAAGUGACCGAAUCCCAAAAAGUGCGUCGAAUUCCGAAUUGAAUUCUGCACCUCAACUCCUUGAAUUCGAAAUCCCUAGUAUUCGGGAAUCAAAUUGCCCCGGUAAAUACUUUCCCGGGCCUUGAACACCCGGA